rnacentral:rRNA from 1 species
UACGUAGGUGGCAAGCGUUGUCCGGAUUUAUUGGGUUUAAAGGGUGCGUAGGCGGCCUUGUAAGUCAGUUCUGAAAUAUCCCGGCUUAACCGGGAGGGUGGGAUUGAUACUGCGAGGCUUGAGUGAAUUCGAGGUAGGCGGAAUUGACGGUGUAGCGGUGAAAUGCUUAGAUAUCGUCAAGAACACCGAUAGUGUAGACAGCUUACUAGACUUCAACUGACGCUGAGGCACGAAAGUGUGGGGAUCAAACAGG